rnacentral:lncRNA from 1 species
AUGCAGAAUAAACAGAAGCACACGAUCAAGAGUGUGUCUAACUCCUCUCUUCUGGAAAUGACGUGUCUUGAAAUGCUUGAUCUGACAGUCGCGCCCUCUCAAGAAAGAAGUAUCACAGAGGAAAGGCAAGUACAUUUAAUGAGCUCGGUUCACUGCUGGGUCACACCAGAGCAGAAGGACGAGACCUCCAUUGCUGGGAAGACCACCCAGAGAGGAGAAAGCUGCGCUUGCCCAGGAGGGAGAGCAAUUGUAUGGACAGGAAAGCAGGAAAGUACCUUUGAUAUCCAGGAGUCCAGAGGACUUCACCAAAUAGUGGCUAAAGCCCCUGCAGAUGUAACCCCCAAGCCUCCUCUCCAUUGGUCUUCUGCAG